ensembl:lncRNA
CCACCAUCUCCUCCCGCCUGCCUGCAAAAAAACCUCAGCUUCUCCAAAUGCCUUUUAAGCCCGAAUUGGAACGAAAGCGGCAUUUUUGCGGCCGGGAUCUGGCCUGGGUGCAGCAGAGCCGGGACGUGCGCGGGGAGGAGGGCCUGGGCGCCGAGCCCUGCCUUGGCACCGGCUCCGGCGCGGGCAUCGCAGGCACCUCCGUCCCUCCCUGGCGAUCCCACCCCGGGCAGGGAUUGGGGUUUUUCCAGGUCUUUUGGGCACUCGGUGCUGGAGGGGGGACCCAGGCGGGACCCCGGGGUGCCGGGAAUGCUGCGGGCCCCCUCCUGGCCUCCAGCCCUGGUGCCGAGGGCAUCGCUUUCGGGCAGCGCUGGGCCCCGUCAAGGACUUGGCACCAUCUGCUCGGGGGAUUGGGGGCCUGCAGGGGGAUUUAGCGGGGCGGGGUGCGUGCCCGAGCUGGGGGUGUCCGUCCCCUCCCUGCCUUUGGGGACUCCCCAGCUGCAGCCGAUUCCCCGCUCACAAGGGGACACGGGUACCUGCAGCGCCACGUGAGGGGGGGGGGGGGGAUUUGGGGACCCCCCCAGCCACCUUGGACACUUCUUGCCCCCCCCAUGCUGAGCUCGCCAGGGCUGUGCCCGGAUUACCGGCGCUAAGCUCCUUCCCGCGGCUGCUCUGUCCUCUGCGCCGGCGGGCGAGCGGCUCCCUGAGCGCGGGGGGCACGGGGGCCGCGGGGGAGCCUUGGGGCCCCUGACGCCGCCUGUCCCCUGCGUCCCCCCGCGUGCCGGAGGUUCGGGUGGCUCCGGGCCGGGGCACGGGGGGGGGAGCUUGGCGAUGGCCCUGCCGGGGGGCGCCGUGCCGCGGCACCUGCUGCAGUCCCCCCCCGAGGAGGACGGGGUGCUCUACGUGGAGUACAAGCCCCCCGCCCUGGACAGCAUCCGCCUGCCCCGCUACGUCGUCUACCUGGUGAUGGCGGCCAGCCUGGUGCUGGUGGUGGCGUACGCCAUCGUGGGCCACCUCAUCAAGGACCUGGUGCACGACUUCGCCGAUUGGGCGUUCGGGCCCAAGCCGGAGGAGGAGAAGGCAGUGAUGGGCGAGGGCGGCGCGCUGGAGGUGGAGUGGCCGGAGGAGGACGGGGCGCUGCCGGAGGAGAGGCCGCAGGGCGAAGGCGCCGGCGCGCUGCCCGGCAUGGACAUCCCGCUGGGGCUGCUCGCCGCCGCCCCGCGCGGCUCCAUCUCCUUCGCCGACCCCCACAAGAAGAGGUUUUUCUAGGGGGGACCCCGCUGCGAAGCCCCCGUGUCCCCUCCCCGCGGCUCCGUCCCCGUCCCCCUGCACCGCGGCGGUGCCAACGCGCGCGCAUCGGGGCUGCCGUCGCGCUGCACCCCAAUAACCCCCCCCGCUCCCCGUCCUGCUGGGGCGCCCCGACCUCGGCCCAUCGGCAUGGGUGCACGCGGGCUUGGCACGGCCACACAGACGGACACACAGACGGACACACGGACGCACAGAUGGACGCACGGCCACAGAGGCGGGCGCUGGGGGGGCGCAGACACAGAUGCGCCCCCGGGCAUGGGCGCAGACCCUCGGGGCGCGGGCGUGCACACGUGGAAACCCGGGCACACGCCGCUGCACGUGAGCGCGGGCGUGCACAGACACACGGAGACGCCCGGACAGACGGACGGACGGACAGGCAGACAC